rnacentral:ncRNA from 1 species
AAGGGCUUGGUCCUGGCCUUGUGGUCAAUUUUUACUUAGCCUACACAUGCAAGUCUCCGCAUCCCUGUGAAAAAGCCCGUUAAUCCUUAUGGAUUAAAGGAGCAGGUAUCAGGCACAAUCAUCUGCCCAAGACACCUAGCCACGCCACACCCACAAGGGACCCCCAGCAGUGAUCAAUAUUGAGCAUAAGCGACAGCUUGACUCAGUUAAAGUGAGUAACAGAGCCGGCAAACUUAGUGCCAGCGCCGCGGCUACACUACAGGGCUCAAAUUGACCGCCGACGACGUAAAGCGUGAUUAAAGAGAUGUACCUCCGCUAGAGCUAAACCCAGAUUAGAUCGUGACACAUUUAUCCGGGGGAGACACACAACGAAAGUCGCUCUACCUAAUUCAACUUGAACACACGAAAACGAGAAUACAAACUGGGAUUAGAUACCCCACUAUGCUCGAUCGCAAACUCUAACUUACACCCCAAUCGUCAGGGAAAUACAAGCAAAGCUUUAAACCCAAAGGACUUGACGGUAUUCCACAUCCCCCUAGAGGAGCCUGUCCAAUAAUCGAUAACCCUCGCUUUACCUCACCACAUCUUGCUUAUCAGCCUGUAUACUUCCGUCGUAAGUAAGCCACAUGAAUGAACCUUAGUAAGCCCAAUGUCUACACAUAAAUGUGUUGAACAACAAUACGUCAGGUCAAGGUGCAGCGGAUGAUGUGGAAUGUGAUUGGCUACACUUUUUAACUUAAAAGAAACGGAAGACAAAAAAUGAAACUCUGUCAGAAGGCGGAUUUAGAAGUAAGAAAAAGAUAUCAUAUUUUUCUUAAUAAGGGCACUGGAGUAUGUACAAACCGCCCGUCACCCUCCUCGAAAAUCUAAACCAGUACUUAACCCACAAAUAAGAAUAAAGAGGAGGUAAGUCGUAACACGGUAAGCGUACCGGAAGGUGCUCUUGGAU